GAAACGAGGUUCUUUUCCGUAGUCUACUGCAUCUCGAAGAAUUUCGUCGUCGGAUCUUCUUUUUGACUUCGUGUUUCUCUCUCGACUGAUUAGAUCGGAAGAUGAUUGACGAUCAGGAAUUAGGUUUUCUUGCCAAUUUUCUCGGCAUUUUUAUCUUUGCCUUGGUGAUUGCUUACCAUUACGUUACGGCUGAUCCGAAAUAUGAAGGCAACUGAGAUCUCGUUGAUUUAGAUGCUUAGAUUCAUCGGCAAAAUGCACUACUGUUAGAUGUAGGCCGUUUUUUAUAUGUUAGGUUUUCCAUUUUCUUCUAUGAGAAUUUUCUCCCGGCAACAACCAAUGUAAGCAACUUUUUCAUUAUGCAAUCGUAAUUUAUUCUCAUAAAUUUUCAUGGUUCUUUGACUGAUCUUUUAUUAGUUACGUAUUUGAUCGAA